GUGCCAGCCGCCGCGGUAAUACGGAGGGGGCUAGCGUUGUUCGGAAUUACUGGGCGUAAAGCGCACGUAGGCGGACCAGAAAGUUGGGGUGAAAUCCCGGGGCUCAACCCCGGAACUGCCUUCAAAACUAUUGGUCUGGAGUUCGAGAGAGGUGAGUGGAAUACCGAGUGUAGAGGUGAAAUUCGUAGAUAUUCGGUGGAACACCAGUGGCGAAGGCGGCUCACUGGCUCGAUACUGACGCUGAGGUGCGAAAGCGUGGGGAGCAAACAGGAUUAGAUACCUGGUAGUCCACGCCGUAAACGAUGAAUGCCAGUCGUCGGGUUGCAUGCAA
rnacentral:rRNA from 1 species